rnacentral:lncRNA from 1 species
UUUUAGUUCCUCAAUCUCCCGGAAAAUAGACCCGAACCAUUUGCAUGUACACAACCUCAGACCUUCAGAUUAAACCUAAGAACUGUACAAGAUUACUUGCGACAGCAGUAGUUCUGCUGUAAGUAGAUGCAAAUCAGCUGAUCCUGUAUGGCAGCGAAGGCAGUGGUUGUGAGUUCAGACUGGAAGUAAAUCCCCCUGCCCACCUGGUGCCAGCAGUGCCAUUCCAGCACUGCUUUCAGCUCUGCAGAAGGCAACGGCUGCAGCUGACAGCACUGUGCCCAGCGUGGUGCCUUUUAUCCCAACCACAGACAAAGCUGAGCAGCACUGGCUUUAUCUGAGUUAUCCGGGAGAUCAACUUAAACAUGGAUGUCUGGCUGACUUCUUUAGCUUAAUACUCAGUGCUGCAUUUGAGCCUUUUUGUGAGCACGCAGUCUGUGCCUUGGCACAACCCCCCGUCAUUAUAGCUAUAGAGCUGUGCUGACUACCAGCAGCACCCUUUCAAAGACGUGGCAGCUGUGUGGCUCCCCAGUUGGUACAGCAGCGUACCCACAGACCAGAUCAUCCAAGUGGAGCAACGAUGUGUGACUCCAUUACCUUCCACAGGUCAGGAUCAGCGCCACACACAGCUUCCCAUGGGCCAAAAGCAAUGACAGAAGCUAGCAGCAGGCACCUUCACAUAGCUGUGCUUGCUUUGCCUUCUCUCCAUUGUCUCCCAGCAGCUGCUGGUGCACAAUGAACUCUGCCUUGCUGCAGGGCCCGCCUGUCCCGGGGCCGGGAUGAAGGGCCGCCUUGUUCUGCGGGCUCAAUGGCGCCUUGUUACUGUGGGUGUGAGCGGGGCACGGGGCAGCCGGCCGCGGGGAGACACGGUGCGGGAUGUGGGAGCGCCUGGCUGUGCCCGGCUUUGCUGCUGACCGCCUUCCAGACCCGCGCUGCCCUCGCCUCGUGGUGCAGCACGAGGAGCUGCUCGCCAUGUGACAGGGAACGAAGGAACGGCCCUUCCCUCCGCCAUCCGGCCUGGACACGGCCCGGACCUGCCCCGGGAGGCUGAGAUGAGUGAGGUUUCCCCAACUGCCCUGCAAUGUGCUGUGUAACAUCUGCCCAGCAAAUGAAUUGUUAUCCAAGUACUCAGGAUCAGGUCUUGGCUACUGCAAACGGUUUCCCUCAUCUUGUCCAUGAGGUAGUUUAUUCCGCACUCCACAGUGCAGAGAGCUCCAACUUUAACCCAUAACCUAGCAGGGAGAAGCAGAACCCAGCACUGCUUGAUGUCCUCUCUGUGGGCUGGCUGUGCUGUGCCAUGCUGCAAGGGGUGCCUUCAUUCUGCUGUUCACCUCCAGCACAGAUAGUGGGAACGCUGCCCUCUGCACUGAUGCUCCAAUCCUGGGCCUCAGCAUUCAUUUAUGUGUGCCAUCAAUGGGCCCCACCGCACUGCCUUCUUGCUGGAGCAGCAUGGAGUUGAACUUCGUGGAUUUCACUAAAAUUGAACACAACAAUAGGGUAGGAAUUGAAGUUACACCUUGUAGGUAUAUGUGGAUGGUGGACUUCUUAAAUGCUGUGUUUAAAUACAUGGAAGGAUUUUCCAGUGGUUGCCUGAGUGUCCAGAUACUGAUGUGUUUUAGUGAGAGCGGGGUGCAUGCAGUAGGUGGAGGAAUGUCUCCUACCCUCAGAAGAAUGGAUGCUUUCUUCAGCUUGAUGAAAUUCCAGUACUGCAGGGAAAAUACACGGAAACUGAACCUGCAAACAAUCUUUGGCUACUUUUGAAUGUCUA